UGAGGCGGCCGCAGGGAAGGGAGGCGGCGGGCCGGGGCUACACACUCGCCCUCCGGCCCUGCGCACAGAGGCGCCCGAGCCCCCUGCGCCGCGCCGCGCUGUCUGCGGGCGAGAAGAGCUGGAAGCCACCUCCACGCACGUUGGCGCACAACCACAACACGUAUUUCCUGUGCACCUACUAUGUGCUAGGUGCUGUACCAGCUGCUGUGACACAAAGAUAAAUGAGGACAUUGGCCUGAUGCGGUGACGGGAAACGCAACCCGGCAUGGGGAGGGCUGCCACAGUGGAAUUUGGAAAUGCAGCUAUGAAUAUGUUCAUAUGACGGAUAAACCAUCUGGAGCUUCAACAAAACAGAACACAUAAUAAAAAGCAUAAUUAAAAAUCAUGAUCAGGACUUUCCUAGUUACGAAAAUGAAGAUCCUUUAUUGAAAAUGGUCUAUUCCUCAACCAGAGCUAAGUAAAUAUAGAGAAAAGAUCAAGAGGAAAACCAAUAUGUACCCAAACUGGAUGCUUCAUACACCAAAAGAACUCCUGGUUUUCAGUGAAAACUCUACACUGACUGCAGUCAUGGGACCCUUCACACUCAUAUCAUUGGCUCUUCUGGACUCUUCUACAAAGAGAUCAGACAACUGAAUAA